GGACUUGCAUCUGACACACAGUGCCAUACAACAAAAUCUCUGAAGGGAACUAAGAGGCAAUGAAGCAGCAAGGCCAGCUGAAGCAACAGACCCAAACCAAAAUAAUCAGCUUUCAGUGAAGUUAUCCCCUUUCUUUCUCGCUCUCUCACUCUCACGGAGUACCCUUGGUGUAAUACAUUACAUAGGAGUUGGCAUCGGAAUGCAACUCUGAAACCAGACUCAGAUGGACUGAAGUGACAUAACAGGUUGGGCUCCAGAUCACUAGGUUGUGCAAGAAGCAUCAGAUAGGUCAAACCAUUCCGGGACUGCUGCACUAAGAAAUGUUUCUGGGUCAGGGUGUGGGGAAAGAAAGAAAUCAGGUUCUAACUACAAAAGCAAUCAGAAGGAAGGGUAGCUUCAUGUGACACUUCCUGCCUAUGCAACAGUGGGGAGCCACCACAUCCUGUUUCUGCAAAGUGCUUCCCUAUUACCAAAUGGAGUUACAAGAACUGGUUUUAU